ensembl:lncRNA
GCUCCCAUCACCUUGGAUCGGGGCCCCUGCUGUGUAACAAGGUGCUGUAUCCUGGGGGCCCCUACUCCCGUUUCAGUCCUGUCACGAUGGUCAGCAUUAGUCUUGUUAGCUUCAACGAGUUGAAAGGUGCAGUAGGCAAGUUUAAAGAGCUGUGAACGCAGCGUUUUUUGGUUGUUUAUUUUCAAAGUCUUGCUGUCUUUCGCUCUGUCUCUCUCUCUCUCUCUCUCUCUCUCUCUUACCCACUGCACCUUUGAGUCAAAGUAUUGUAUGCACAGUAUAACAGCGUCAUUCUGAAGCAUUAAGUUCUUCAGACAUGGCAGCUGCAACUAAGCAGGCAUUGACAUUUAUUCGUAUUUAUCAAGAGUCAGUGUAACACGUUAAUUCAGCCGUUAAUCAAACCAUCCCAGUGUGUGGCCAUGCAUCAACCUUCCACCUUAGUAGCACACCAGCAAACCAGCAAGCCCUCCUUUGCUCUGCAGGGGCAAAGGUCGAUUGACUCAAAGAAUCACAGAAAUACCAGCACCAUAAUAUAAUUGAAUAAAAACCUUGUAUUUAUUGUUUUUUUUUAUUCCUACCUCAUCCCAUUUUCGCAUUUUCCAAUUUCUUGGGAUUUCCAGUGAUUUCGUAGCCUAGCCUUGACCCCUUACGCCAUGACCCCUAACCCCUUAAACGAGGUCAUUCAUACUAUCGAUGUUAAUGAUGUCACUAUGUAAUCUACACAGGGUUUGUGUUUGUCGUCGUCUGCUACGUGAAAUAAUGAUUGUUCGGUUGUUUUUUAACUCAAACGCACAACUUUCUAUCCUCGUUGUACUCUUGUGUGUUUCUGAAGUAACCAUUUAGUGUAAUUUGAUACCGUUUUUAUCAUUAACUAUUUAUUUGUUUGCAUUGCAUGAAGCCCCCUUCCCCGUGUCUCCCUGCGGACCUGUCUCUCAUUAGGGGGUCCCAGGUCACGGCUCGACGCUUUCAAACUGAUCUUACAAGUUGUGUCAUACAUUGUGCGUAAUAAAAUCCGAAGAGAUUUA